rnacentral:rRNA from 1 species
AACGAACGCUGGCGGCGUGCCUAACACAUGCAAGUCGAACGGGAUUCGGAGCUUGCUCCGAUGAGAGUGGCGCACGGGUGAGUAACGCGUAGAUAAUCUGCCUGAUGAUCUGGGAUAACAGUUCGAAAGGACCGCUAAUACCGGAUAAGCCCACGGAGACCUUGGUCUUUGCGGGAAAAGGGGGGGACCUUCGGGCCUUCCGUCAUCAGAUGAGUCUGCGUACCAUUAGCUAGUUGGUAGGGUAAAGGCCUACCAAGGCGACGAUGGUUAGCUGGUCUGAGAGGAUGAUCAGCCACACUGGAACUGAGACACGGUCCAGACUCCUACGGGAGGUAGCAGUGGGGAAUUUUGCGCAAUGGGGGAAACCCUGACGCAGCAACGCCGCGUGAGUGAUGAAGGCUCUUGGGUCGUAAAGCUCUGACAGAGGGAAAGAAGUGUAUGGUGGUUAAUACCCAUUGUACUUGACGGUACCCUCAAAGGAAGCACCGGCUAACUCCGUGCCAGCCGCCGCAGUAAUAC